AAAAUUUCCGGAGGUAUACGAUGGACCCGCGUCUGAUUAGCCAGUUGGCAGGGUAACGGCCUACCAAAGCAACGAUCAGUAGCCGGCCUGAGAGGGUGGACGGCCACAUUGGGACUGAGACACGGCCCAAACUCCUGCGGGAGGCAGCAGUGGGGGAUAUUGCACAAUGGGGGAAACCCUGAUGCAGCGACGCCGCGUGAGUGAAGAAGCAUUUCGGUGUGUAAAGCUCUAUCAGCAGGGAAGAAGAAUGACGGUACCUGACUAAGAAGCCCCGGCUAACUACGUGCCAGCAGCCGCGGUAAUACGUAGGGGGCAAGCGUUAUCCGGAUUUACUGGGUGUAAAGGGAGCGUAGACGGCAAUGCAAGCCAGAUGUGAAAACCCGCAGCUCAACUGGGGGAGUGCAUUUGGAACUGUGUAGCUGGAGUGCAGGAGAGGUAAGCGGAAUUCCUGGUGUAGCGGUGAAAUGCGUAGAUAUCAGGAGGAACACCAGUGGCGAAGGCGGCUUACUGGGCUGUAACUGACGUUGAGGCUCGAAAGCGUGGGGAGCAAACAGGAUUAGAUACCCUGGUAGUCCACGCUGUAAACGAUGAAUACUAGGUGUCGGGGGUUUACGGACGCCCG
rnacentral:rRNA from 1 species